UUGCUGUCUGCAUGCAAAGUCAAGUUAUUAUUGCGGGCUUUAGCUAUGGUACACAUUGUGACACUGUUGCUGUUGACCUUGUGGCAAUCGGUUUCAGAUCAUAUAACUUGGCGGAACAUUGCUCCCAAUAGCGGCCUUCCCACAUUGCCACUUGGGGGUGCUGUUGACCGGCCAAGCAGUGGGUAGCCACUUAUGAACAGUUGGCACAAGACGUCAAUGAAAACAGCAUCAGUAGUGGCAGCAUAAAAGUUGCUCACAGCUACAGCUUCACCUUUGUGAAUGGCAGCAUGAUGCACCAUGGCGUGUGAAUACAUGAGUGCUGCAGAGUAGUGCUUCUUGAUGGCAUCGUGUAAUGGGUAAGGUCGGGGAAGUCCUAGUGAACCUCAAGUGAACAUCCCAAAGUGUCUCAAAAUCCCAUGGUCUAUCUCAACUACCAUACUGGCCAAUCAAUCGCAAGAUGUAGUGCUUUGAAAGCUGGACCAAGUGGUGAGAAACGCUCACGUAUCUGGGGUGGAAAGUUUGCAGAUGUGGAAAAAUGCCUACAGAUUUGGUUUCAGCAACAGUGUGCAGGGAGGCCAACAGUGUGGAUAAUGUCACCAUACAAUAUUCGAAAGAGCAUAAUCUCCCAACUAUAAUCGCAAAACGCAGUCUGAAACACAUUUGAAACACUGGCGAAAUAGGACUUUUUAAAACUUGUUCCAGACAAAACCUUUGCAUUUAAGGUUGAUCACUGCUUUGGGGGAAAGAGAAGCAAGCAGAGAGUGACAAUGCUCCUUACCAUAAACACAGAUGCUCUGAUAAGAAGGAUGGAUGACUGCAAACCUCAGUAAGCUUAAUGCCCGCAUGUGUCAUGAGACGAGGAAAAUAUGUUUGGUUCAUUCUCUGGUGCUACAGUUCAGCAGCAUAGAACUGGCAUUUUUUCCAGCAAACUGCAUGAGCCAUUUUCAAACUCUGGAUUGGGGCAUCAUUGCUGCCACAAAAGCAAAGUACAGGAAAAUGCUGGUUCAAUGUGUCAUCACACAUCUCGACAAUAGGAAGGGUGAUCCUCAGCUGGACGUGUUGCAGGCAAUGCAGUCCAUAAGGACUGCUUGGGAUCAAUUGAAGCCAAACAAAAUCACAGGUGCUUUCGAGAAACUGAUAUUACAAAAGAUGAAAUUCAAGCUGACCCCGAAAAUGUUGAACAUUUUGAUGUAGAGUUCAAUAUACCAGAUGACAAUGACUGGGCUUGUAUUUCAAGUGAAACUAAUUUUGAUGAUUUUGUUGUUUGUGAUGCUGAUACUGCCAUGUGUUGUGUACAAAAUGAGGAUGAAAUAAUUAAAGAAGUAUGCCAGUAUCAGCUGAAAUAAAUAGUUCUGAGGAAUCUGAAGAAUUGGAUGGAGAAUCUGUGAACCCUCCCAGUCUGUCAGAAGCAUUUACUGCAUUGGAAGUAACACAACGUUACAUAAGAUCAAAAAACAUUAGUGAUGACAAGAUGGUCACAGUGAUUGAAUAUGAAAACUUGAUUUAUGAAUGCAGUAUUGCUUCCAAAAAACAAAUGACUGUUGAUUCAUUCUUUAGGCCUAAAUAACUUUAAUUGUCCAUAACUUAGGCAUAAGCCUACUUAAACUGCUGUACCUAUUACUGUACAGUGUAAGUAUCUUCUGU